UCAACUCUGUUCGUGAUUCUGUGAAAGGAGGACAUUUAAACAAAUUUUUGGAAUGCCUGGAGUACGGAGAAAACCAUGUUAAAAAAGAGGACGUCCUCCAUUUGGAGGACGUCUGGUCACCCUAGACUGAAUAGACAGGGAGCAGGGGUGGCAGCUGGUGGAAAUAGUGGCCUUGAUGGGCAGCAGAGUGCUAAUCUGUGCAAACUAUAGUGACCUUAAUACAAGGCUACUAAUUAGAAUAAGCAGAGAAAGCUGUGGGAAAAUGGACAGCAGGUGACUGAGAAGGGAGUGGUGGGUACAAGCUGCUGCUCGGAUGUGUUGAUUGAAAACCCCUCAGCCCACAGCAUGUGCAGCUCUGGAAGUCAAACAGAUCCGGGGUCCCUCAGCCCCUUCACUCUGCACAAACACCCCCAUAAAUGAGGGGGUGCAUUGGUUAUGUUAUCUUUUAGGCAGGGAAUUCAUUGAAAAGGCUCAGGAGCUGCUCACCAAGAGAUGGAAGAGAUGGGGAUGGCAGGUGUCUUUCAGCCCAUGGGUGGCACUAGCUGUCAUGGUGAGGAGGCAACUGGCUCCUCCAGAAGGACCGUGGCAGACAGAGCUAAUGAUGCACUGGACCGGGAUGCAUCCUAGGAGGCAGGGUCCUGGCUAUGAUUGUAUACCCCCCAGAGAAAGAUCUACCAGUACCGUUCAGCCUUGUACUUUUGCAGGGGACCUGCAGAGGACGUGACACCAGCCACCCUAUCAGAGUCUUAAACGGAGAUCCUGAGCCAUUGCCCAGACCCUGGGGCACCUCCUUGACCCAAAUGACAGAUGUGCUGCCUCCAGACCAGGCUCAGGGACUGUUCAGUAUGCUGUAGAUCCUGAUAGAAACUGUGGAGGGGCCCAGGACAGUAGAGCCGAAAUGGGGGCUGCGUUGUGCUGGAGCAAUCACUUCUGUUUAAUGUAAAUACUUCCAUACUGUGAAAGUGUUUCUUUUGGCUUAAAUAAGGUAGCGACAUAGUUUGCUGUCUAUUGUUAAAUUUGAUGAGGUUCAUUUGUAAAUGUGCUGUCAACUUCCAGUAAAAAGCAGAAUAUGUGG